rfam:Apaloderma vittatum contig48765, whole genome shotgun sequence.
GGUCGGUUAGCUCAGUCAGUUGAGCAUAGCUCUAACAACGCCAAGGUCGCGGGUUCGAUUCCCGUUCGGUCCC